rnacentral:rRNA from 1 species
UAGUCCACGCCGUAAACGAUGGGUACUUGAUUUUGCGGGACUUGACCCCUGCAGAGUCGGAGCUAACGCGUUAAGUACCCCGCCUGGGGAGUACGGUCGCAAGACUAAAACUCAAAGGAAUUGACGGGGGCCCGCACAAGCGGUGGAUCAUGUGGUUUAAUUCGAAGCAACGCGAAGAACCUUACCUGGGUUUGACAUUUACAGACAACUAUAGAGAUAUAGCCUUUGUAGCAAUACAACUGUAGGACAGGUGCUGCAUGGCUGUCGUCAACUCGUGUGGUGACAUGUUGGGUUAAGUCCCGCAACGAGCGCAACCCUCGCCCUUAGUUGCCAGCAUUUAGUUGGGCACUCUAAGGGAACCGCCGGUGAUAAGCCGGAGGAAGGUGGGGAUGACGUCAAGUCCUCAUGGCCCUUACGGGAUGGGCUACACACGUGCUACAAUGGCAGUGACAAUGGGUUAAUCCCCAAAAGCUGUCUCAGUUCGGAUUGUUCUCUGCAACUCGAGAGCAUG